rnacentral:rRNA from 1 species
AAUACUCCAGCGAGGCCCUGGAGGACUGAUGUGGAGAAGGGUUUCUUGUGAACAGCUGUUGCACAAGAGUCAGUCGAUCCUAAGCCCUAGGAGAAAUCCGAAGCGAUGGUCUGCCGUUAAGUCUUCUCUGGAGGGAGGAGGGGGAGCGGCGCUCUCGAGCGUCGUUUUCCCCCUUCGCCCCUUCCGCAUGUGAGCUGGCACCGUCUGGGCGAAAGGGAAUCCGGUUCCUAUUCCGGAACCCGGCCGCGGAACCGCUCCAAUUCGGGCCCUCAUCCGAGGACUCGUCGGGGUGACCCGAAAUGACCCGGAGAAGCCGUAGGGAGGUCCGGGGAGAGUUGUCUCUUCUCUAUAAGCGUUCGAGUUCCCUGGAAGCCUCUAGGAGGGAGAUAGGGUUUGGAACGCGAAGAGCACCGCACUUACGGCG